AAAUUGAAGAGUUUGAUCAUGGCUCAGAUUGAACGCUGGCGGCAGGCCUAACACAUGCAAGUCGAGCGGUAGCACAGAGAGCUUGCUCUCGGGUGACGAGCGGCGGACGGGUGAGUAAUGUCUGGGAAACUGCCUGAUGGAGGGGGAUAACUACUGGAAACGGUAGCUAAUACCGCAUAAUGUCGCAAGACCAAAGUGGGGGACCUUCGGGCCUCAUGCCAUCAGAUGUGCCCAGAUGGGAUUAGCUAGUAGGUGGGGUAACGGCUCACCUAGGCGACGAUCCCUAGCUGGUCUGAGAGGAUGACCAGCCACACUGGAACUGAGACACGGUCCAGACUCCUACGGGAGGCAGCAGUGGGGAAUAUUGCACAAUGGGCGCAAGCCUGAUGCAGCCAUGCCGCGUGUGUGAAGAAGGCCUCGGGUUGUAAAGCACUUUCAGCGGGGAGGAAGGCGUUAAGGUUAAUAACCUCAUCGAUUGACGUUACCCGCAGAAGAAGCACCGGCUAACUCCGUGCCAGCAGCCGCGGUAAUACGGAGGGUGCAAGCGUUAAUCGGAAUUACUGGGCGUAAAGCGCACGCAGGCGGUCUGUCAAGUCGGAUGUGAAAUCCCCGGGCUCAACCUGGGAACUGCAUUCGAAACUGGCAGGCUAGAGUCUUGUAGAGGGGGGUAGAAUUCCAGGUGUAGCGGUGAAAUGCGUAGAGAUCUGGAGGAAUACCGGUGGCGAAGGCGGCCCCCUGGACAAAGACUGACGCUCAGGUGCGAAAGCGUGGGGAGCAAACAGGAUUAGAUACCCUGGUAGUCCACGCCGUAAACGAUGUCGAUUUGGAGGUUGUGCCCUUGAGGCGUGGCUUCCGGAGCUAACGCGUUAAAUCGACCGCCUGGGGAGUACGGCCGCAAGGUUAAAACUCAAAUGAAUUGACGGGGGCCCGCACAAGCGGUGGAGCAUGUGGUUUAAUUCGAUGCAACGCGAAGAACCUUACCUGGUCUUGACAUCCACAGAACUUUCCAGAGAUGGAUUGGUGCCUUCGGGAACUGUGAGACAGGUGCUGCAUGGCUGUCGUCAGCUCGUGUUGUGAAAUGUUGGGUUAAGUCCCGCAACGAGCGCAACCCUUAUCCUUUGUUGCCAGCGGUCCGGCCGGGAACUCAAAGGAGACUGCCAGUGAUAAACUGGAGGAAGGUGGGGAUGACGUCAAGUCAUCAUGGCCCUUACGACCAGGGCUACACACGUGCUACAAUGGCAUAUACAAAGAGAAGCGACCUCGCGAGAGCAAGCGGACCUCAUAAAGUAUGUCGUAGUCCGGAUUGGAGUCUGCAACUCGACUCCAUGAAGUCGGAAUCGCUAGUAAUCGUAGAUCAGAAUGCUACGGUGAAUACGUUCCCGGGCCUUGUACACACCGCCCGUCACACCAUGGGAGUGGGUUGCAAAAGAAGUAGGUAGCUUAACCUUCGGGAGGGCGCUUACCACUUUGUGAUUCAUGACUGGGGUGAAGUCGUAACAAGGUAACCGUAGGGGAACCUGCGGUUGGAUCACCUCCUUA
rnacentral:rRNA from 1 species